rnacentral:rRNA from 1 species
AUUGAACGCUGGCGGCAUGCUUUACACAUGCAAGUCGAACGGUAACGCGGACUUCGGUCUGGCGACGAGUGGCGAACGGGUGAGUAAUGCAUCGGAACGUAUCCAUUUGUGGGGGAUAGCCCGGCGAAAGCCGGAUUAAUACCGCAUAAUCUCUGAGGAGGAAAGUGGGGGACCUUCGGGCCUUACGCUGAUGGAGCGGCUGAUGUCGGAUUAGCUUGUUGGUAGGGUAAAGGCCUACCAAGGCGACGAUCCGUAGCUGGUCUGAGAGGACGACCAGCCACACUGGAACUGAGACACGGUCCAGACUCCUACGGGAGGCAGCAGUGGGGAAUUUUGGACAAUGGGGGCAACCCUGAUCCAGCCAUGCCGCGUGCGGGAAGAAGGCCUUCGGGUUGUAAACCGCUUUCAGACGGAAAGAAACAGUACAAGCUAAUACCUUGUACGAAUGACGGUACCGUCAGAAGAAGCACCGGCUAACUACGUGCCAGCAGCCGCGGUAAUACGUAGGGUGCGAGCGUUAAUCGGAAUUACUGGGCGUAAAGAGUGCGCAGGCGGCUCUCUAAGACAGGUGUGAAAUCCCCGGGCUUAACCUGGGAAUGGCGCUUGUGACUGGAGAGCUAGAGUGUGGCAGAGGGGAAUGGAAUUCCUGGUGUAGCAGUGAAAUGCGUAGAUAUCAGGAGGAACACCGAUGGCGAAGGCAGUUCCCUGGGCCAACACUGACGCUCAUGCACGAAAGCGUGGGGAGCAAACAGGAUUAGAUACCCUGGUAGUCCACGCCCUAAACGAUGUCAACUAGUUGUUGGGGAAGGAGACUUCUUUAGUAACGUAGCUAACGCGUGAAGUUGACCGCCUGGGGAGUACGGCCGCAAGGUUAAAACUCAAAGGAAUUGACGGGGACCCGCACAAGCGGUGGAUGAUGUGGAUUAAUUCGAUGCAACGCGAAAAACCUUACCUACCCUUGACAUGUGAGGAACUUGUGAGAGAUCACUUGGUGCCCGAAAGGGAACCUCAACACAGGUGCUGCAUGGCUGUCGUCAGCUCGUGUCGUGAGACGUUGGGUUAAGUCCCGCAACGAGCGCAACCCUUGUCAUUAGUUGCUACAUUUAGUUGAGCACUCUAAUGAGACUGCCGGUGACAAACCGGAGGAAGGUGGGGAUGACGUCAAGUCCUCAUGGCCCUUAUGGGUAGGGCUUCACACGUCAUACAAUGGCGCGUACAGAGGGUUGCCAACCCGCAAGGGGGAGCUAAUCCCAGAAAGCGCGUCGUAGUCCGGAUUGUUCUCUGCAACUCGAGAACAUGAAGUCGGAAUCGCUAGUAAUCGCGGAUCAGCAUGUCGCGGUGAAUACGUUCCCGGGUCUUGUACACACCGCCCGUCACACCAUGGGAGUAGGUUUCACCAGAAGUAGCUAGCCCAACCGUAAGGAGGGCGGUUACCACGGUGAGGUCUAUGACUGGGGUGAAGUCGUAACAAGGUAGCCGUAUCGGAAGGUGCGGCUGGAUCACCUCCUUUCUAGAGUAAUAGCAAGCAGCGUAAUAUUUUGCUUCGCGAAGUGCUCACAUGCUUUAGCUGUCUGCUGAACUCGAGACUAUCACUAGACCGGGUCUGUAGCUCAGUUGGUUAGAGCACACGCUUGAUAAGCGUGGGGUCGAUGGUUCAAAUCA